rnacentral:rRNA from 1 species
CACGUAGGGGGCAAGCGUUGUCCGGAUUUACUGGGUGUAAAGGGUGCUCAGGUGGAUUCAUAAGUCAGAGGUGAAACUCCGAAGCUUAACUUCGGAACUGCCUUUGAUACUGUGGGUCUAGAGUUUGAGAGAGGGCAAUGGAAUAUCUGGUGUAGCAGUGAAAUGCGUAGAUAUCAGAUAGAACACCAAUGGCGAAGGCAGUUGCCUGGCUCAAUACUGACGCUAAAGCACGAAAGUGUGGGGAGCAAACAGGAUUAGAUACCCCCGUA